ensembl:lncRNA MIR29B2CHG MIR29B2 and MIR29C host gene
AAAGGGGAGCGGGGAGAAGCCCAGCAGCUUUCUAAAAUCUCUUUAGGGGUGUGCGUAGGCUCCUGUGUCUAUGCCUGCUUUUGACUGCCCAGUUGAAGCCUCUUCCUAUGCCUUUUAAAAUUUCACGCACUAUAAGGAGGAAGAGCUCAGGGCUCCCAAAACUUUUUAUUUAGAGGGAAGAAUGCUAGGGAGAUGGGUAUGCAGAGGGUUGACCAAAUUGGAAGAAAAUAUUUAUUCUGUAGUUUGGUGUUGGAAAAGGGAAUUUUCCAAUCAGCCACACCUCAGUGUUGCGGCAAAAUAAUUCUUGGCUCCCCUGGAAACGCAUGGGCAAGGUAGGGCAGAGCUGCUGCUGCUGAUACUGCCACCACCCUGGGCUUCCUGCUGACUCUGGGCUACUCCCUGGGGACAACAGAUUUGCAUUGACGUCCGGGGCUGUCCAGAGGCCCUCAAGAGCCAGUUGUGAGCUGAGCCCAGUAUGGGAAAGAUCUACCUUCUGGAAGCUACUACUACGUGGUGCUUGGAAAGAGGACUCAGGAGAGUGCAGCUUGCUCUGUGAGUGGGUGACAACCUCUUGGCGACUCAGGCUCAGCUGAGGAUGGUGCCAGUGUGCCGGAGACAGCCGUCAUACUGCCGGAUAGAGUGGCUCACUUGCAUGUAUUUGGAACAAAAAAAGGAGAUGCCUGGCAGCCCCGCUCUCUGCAGUGCUGUUGAGCCACCAAUUUUUGUGGUUUUGUGACCACAAGUGCUGACUGAUGCGACAUGACCCCAGUCUUGUCAGUGAAUCAUCACCAGGCUGCUUACUGGAAACUGGAUGCAGCAAGGAAAUAGGAUUUAACCGCUCUCUGCCUCCCAGGUAAGUCCAGUGUGGGCUGCUCCCUCCAGCCUUCCCCCAUCCUCCUUCCUUCCCACGAACACCAUUUUCCUUAUUCCGCCGGGGAAUCCUCAGACGUCUCCAUUCAGAAUCUCCCAAACGAUUGUUCUCUUUUUUGCAUUCUUCUCCUUCUGGCUUUUCUGUGUGGGGUUAGUAACCAGCACAGGGUUGGGGGCAGAAUGGGCAGCUGAAGUGGUCGGGCUGUGCGGACGUGUGGGAGAUAGCUGGGUAGUGUUGCUGGGUGUGGCAGUUGGCAGAGCAUUUGGGCCUCCCACAGUAAUAGAAACUCUCUUUGGCUCCAGCAUCCAGCAGGAGGUUCUGGGUUUAACCCCUCGGUAAUCCUGGGAGCCUUCCUGGUGCCUGGGGAUUCUCUCCCCUGUGUAGUCUCAGUGGAUGGCCUGUCUUAACUCUAGAUACAUUUUGCCUUGAGGGGGCUUAGUCUAGGUUGGUGGUCUGGAGUUUGGACUGGGCUGAGCAGUGAGCUUUGGGACUCUCCCUAAUUUUGGGGUUUCUUUGAAUGAGCCACUUUCUUCCUCUAGGCCUUCAUUACCUUUGCCUUAAAAAACAAAAUCCCUGGUCCAGUAAGCCAUUGCAAAGCAUCUCUAGGAAGUUGACAAAGAAAUGCUUUUCUUCUGCCUCACUUGCUGCCGAUCACAGUAAUAGCAAUGGUGAUUAAAAAUGAAAAAUGAUGACGGCCUGCAGAAUCAGGGAGGUCAGUGGCAUCAUUGAUACAAUUCACAAAGCAGACUCUCGGUGCCCACACAUCACUAGGAAGUCUCUCUCCUAUCGAGUAGAUGACUACAGCAUUCUUGGCCAGUAAAGCCAGUUGGAAUUAGCCAACAGCAGAUUGGUCUGGGCUCUAAAGAUAAAAGGAAUUAUGUUGGGUAAUUUUCGGAGGUACCUAUGGGAUCCUACCUCUGGCCACACAGUGGUCGCCUCUCUCUGCUCAUAUGUUUCGGUGGGGGUGGGGGGUUCCUCUUCCCCAUGCUGCUCCCGUUGCUAUCCAGGGAAGAUUGGCCAAUUCUGCUUCCUGUUAUUUCUUCUUCUCCUCUGUCCAUUUGAGGUGAGUCUCUAGGUUGGCUGUGAACAGCCUGAGGAACCCAGGGCUGUUUGGAAGAAUCUGAUGUCUCUUCCUUCAAGGACCCUGACAGGUCUCAGCCCUCCAGCAGUACUGCAGUGAGGGAUGGCAGGGGGUGUUGGAGUGGAGAGAUAUCGACUUGGGUGCAGCUGGGGAGACUAAAAGGAGUGAGCCAAGUCCCUCAAGAAGUGUUGGCUAGAGUCUGGCCAGCCCUGGCUGUAGGGCUGGAGCCAGACGUAGCUGCUGGCUGUGCUUGGGAGUCUCAGCCCUCAUAUGUGCAGUGUGUCCCUGGGCAUGGCUCUUCGUGAUCCCCACUCCCACGAAUAGCCCUGUCCUUGGUUAGAUUGGGAAAACCAGGGUGGGAAGUAAAGGGGAGGUUGGUUUUGCUCGUGGUCAUGCAGUUAUCUCUCUGGCCUCUGAUGUUUCCAGAAUUGGGAUUGGUGCUUCCCUGCUGAUUUUCCUAUUUUUGUCCCUCAUCUGGUUCUUUUCCUCCUUGCUCACCAGCCUGGGUUCUACACACAUGACAUGGGGCAUUGUGUGUUCCCAAUGAGGAUAGCAGAACAGUUGGUAUCUCCUGAGAGAGGGGCCAGCAUAUCUGGCACUUUUUUCUUGACCUUUGAAUUUCUGAGGUCUGGGAGUCAGGAGGCAGCAUGGGGCCUCUCCAUCCGGGAUCCAGCAGAGGUUAACAGAGUUGGUGGCUCUGGAGCUGAGGUGGUGUGGCUUGGCUGGGAGUUGUGGGGGAGAGGCCCUGCCAGGGGCCCUGAUUGGUCAGUACCUUCUCUAUUCCAUUGAAUCCUGGUCCGGUCAGCUCUGUGAAUUGUUUAAUGCAUAUCUUGGCUCUGUCCCCUGGCUCGAGUGUCCCUAAGGCUGCAGCCACAGCUUUAGAGAGGAUCUGUACCUUGUGCUGGUCACUUUUUUUGGGCGUGUUACCUCCCUCUGAGAUAUGUAAGAGAUACCACCCUUUCCCACCAGCCGGCUGUCUGUGGGAGGCCCUCAUUUUGCUUUGCUUUUCUGAGACUUGGAGUGACUGUGAGGAAAGCAUGGACUGAGUUUGCUUUCUUGCUGGUUCCUUCCACAAGAGCUGCUCAUGGGCUGAUAAAGCCAGAGAACACCUCCAGGGCCCCAUGGCCUGUGCGGAGCCUGGUACCAUAGUGUCAAGCCUACAGGGAUGGACUGGGGACAUGGGGGCAGAUAGAGCCACGUGGGGAGGUGGUAUGUGUGGUUAGAUCACAGGAGCAAGUCCAGGAGGGUGUGGGAGGACAAGUCCAGUGCU